UGUCUAGAUAUUAGAAUUCUAUACAAGGAUUACUGUCUCUAAUAAAGCCACAUUUGGAACUCCAAUUCUAUGGAAGGACAGCAAAAAGUUGAGUUACACUGAAAUUUCUAAUGGUCCUCAAACAUUCCAGAAGUAUUCCCACCUGAGAGCCUCAGAACUUGCAGAUGUCUUUGCCCAGAAUGCUCUUCCAACUGACUUGCCUGGUGUGUUCCCUCAAGUUCGUCAGGUCUAGGCUGAAGACUAUUUAAGAAUGAAGAUAAAUUUACAACCACUAAAUAUCCAGACUUGCUCAGAAUAUUGAGUCUUCUGCUGAUGGCAAAAGAAAGAUCCUUUGUUUUUAAGUAAAUCAAGUUAAUUGGAGUUAAAGGCAUGCAUCUUACUUCUGUGACCCUCUUCACAAGUGCUCACUGUGUUUACUUCAAAGGAGAGAGAAAAGCCUGUUUCUGUGGAAAUGAGGAUUCCAUCUCUUGGUUUUCCCUUGUGCGGAAGAAAAUGUCCCUGCAUUUCCUGAUGAUCCCCAUCUAGUGGAGAGCCGGCAGUCUGCAUAUAAAGCCUGGAAUCUUGCCUGAAAAAUUUUCGAUUGCUUCUACACUGCCAAACCUUGCCCAUCAGUCCUUUAAACUGAAUCUUGGAUCAGAUCUCCUUCAUGAAACCACGUGAGGCUAAAACUUAACUAUACCCAAACAACAUAAAUUAAAUCAGCAUGACUCAUCAUGUUCCAAUCAUGUAUAUUAGUGUUUCUAUAUUCUGUGGAUUAAGAUACCUUACAAAGACCGUAUCAGAGCAAAUACUUUCAAUAGAAUUGUUCAGAAUCACCAAAGUUAAAGAAAUAAAGUUUAAU